rnacentral:rRNA from 1 species
AGCAGCCGCGGUAAUUCCAGCUCCGAUAGCGUAUAUUAAAGUUGUUGCAGUUAAAAAGCUCGUAGUUGAAUUUCGGGAUUUGUCAGUUGGUCGGGCUUCACUGUCCGUAUUGACUUGAUGGAUUCUUACCUUCUGAAUAACCAGCAUGCUAUUAAGUUAGUGCGUUGGGGAAGCAGAUCUAUUACCUUGAAAAAAUUAGAGUGUUUAAAGCGAGCUAGUGCUUGAAUAGAUUAGCAUGGAAUAAUAAAAUAGGACGGCAUGGUUCUAUUUGUUGGUUUCUAGGAUCACCGUAAUGAUUAAUAGGGAUAGUUGGGGGCAUUAGUAUUCAAUUGUCAGAGGUGAAAUUCUUGGAUUUAUUGAAGCUAAACUUCUGUCGAAACAUUUGCCUAAGGAUGUUUUCAUUAAUCAAGAACGAAAGUUAAGGGGAUCGAAGACGAUCAGAUACCGUCGUAGUCUUAACCAUAAACUAUGCCGACUAGGAAUCGGACGAUGUUAAUUUUNUAAAUGUACUCGUUCGGCU